rnacentral:rRNA from 1 species
GGACAACCUGCCCUCGGGAGGGGGAUAACCCCGGGAAACUGGGGCUAAACCCCCAUAGGGGAUGGAUACUGGAAUGUUCCAUCUCCGAAAGUCCGCAAGGAGCCCGAGGAUGGGUCUGCGGCGGAUUAGGCAGUUGGUGGGGUAACGGCCCACCAAGCCUAAGAUCCGUACGGGCCAUGGGAGUGGGAGCCCGGAGAUGGACCCUGAGACAAGGGUCCAGGCCCUACGGGGCGCAGCAGGCGCGAAACCUCCGCAAUGCGGGAAACCGCGACGGGGUCAGCCGGAGUGCCGAUGCUUGCAUCGGCUGUCGGGGAGCCUAAAAAGCUCUCCAAGCAAGGGCCGGGCAAGGCCGGUGGCAGCCGCCGCGGUAAUACCGGCGGCCCGAGUGGCGGUCACUAUUAUUGGGCUUAAAGCGUCCAUAGCCGGGUUGGUUAGUCUCCCGGGAAAUCUGGCCGCUCAACGGUCAGAAUUCCGGGAGAUACUGCCAGCCUAGGGACCGGGAGAGGCCGAGGGUAUUCCCGGAGUAGGGGUGAAAUCCUAUAAUCCCGGGAGGACCACCUGUGGCGAAGGCGCUCGGCUGGAACGGGUCCGACGGUGAGGGACGAAGGCCAGGGGAGCAAACCGGAUUAGAUACCCGGGUAGUCCUGGCUGUAAACGAUGCGGACUUUGUGUCGGACAAGCUAUGAGCUUGUCCGGUGCCGGAGGGAAACCGUU